UACGUAGGGUGCAAGCGUUAAUCGGAAUUACUGGGCGUAAAGCGUGCGCAGGCGGUUUUGUAAGUCUGACGUGAAAUCCCCGGGCUUAACCUGGGAAUUGCGUUGGAGACUGCAAGGCUGGAGUCUGGCAGAGGGGGGUAGAAUUCCACGUGUAGCAGUGAAAUGCGUAGAGAUGCGGAGGAACACCGAUGGCGAAGGCAGCCCCCUGGGCCAACAC
rnacentral:rRNA from 1 species